UCGCUCUUCAACGAGGAAUCCCUAGUAAGCACAAGUCACCAGCUUGUGCUGAUUACGUCCCUGCCCUUUGUACACACCGCCCGUCGCUACUACCGAUUGAAUGGCUUAGUGAGGCCCUCGGAUCGACUUUCUGAGACUGGCAACAGUCUUUGAUUGUUGAGAAGUUGGUCAAACUUGGUCAUUUAGAGGAAGUAAAAGUCGUAACAAGGUUUCCGUAGGUGAACCUGCGGAAGGAUCAUUACUGAUUUAGCGAACCGAGCAUUAGCGAGGUUUUGCGAUCACUUGUAUUUAAAACCCAACUCAUAUAAAAUAUGUAUAUUUUUGAAAAAUAAAAUUAAAGAUCACUUUCAACAACGGAUCUCUUGGCUCUCGCAUCGAUGAAGAACGUAGCGAAGUGCGAUAAGUAAUGUGAAUUGCAGAAUUCCGUGAAUCAUCGAAUCUUUGAACGCAAAUUGCACUUUCUGGUAUUCCGGAAAGUAUGCCUGUUUGAGGGUCAGUUAAAUAAAAAUCGGUGUUGUUGCUGCUAUUAGUGGUGAUGCAUCGGAAUUGAGUUGUUCUUUUGCCCUUUGGUAUAAGUGACUUAAAAUUUGUACGAUUUUUUGAACGUAUUUAAAUUAUUUACGUACGUUUAUAAUAUCAUAUAUUAGGUGCGGUCAUUCUUAUGAUUUCGCGCCUAUAAUUUUUUCAUUAUUUGACCUCAAAUCAGGUAAGAAUACCCGCUGAACUUAAGCAUAUCAAUAAGCGGAGGAAAAGAAAAUAACAAUGAUUCCCUUAGUAACGGCGAGUGAAGGGGGAUAAGCUCAAAUUUUAAAUCUGCUAGGUUUUACCUAUCAGAGUUGUAAUUUGAAGAAGCGUUUUCCGCGUCUCGGUUGACCCAAAUCCUUUGGGAUAUGGUAUCAUGGAGGGUGAGAAUCCCGUCCGGUUGACUUUGUGACGCUUUACGAUACGUUUUCAAAGAGUCGAGUUGUUUGGGAUUGCAGCUCAAAAUGGGAGGUAAAUUUCUCCUAAGGCUAAAUAUUGGCGAGAGACCGAUAGCGAACAAGUACCGUGAGGGAAAGAUGAAAAGAACUUUGAAAAGAGAGUUAAACAGUACGUGAAAUUGUUGAAAGGGAACCGUUUGGAAUCAGUCUUGUCGGCGAGAAAUCAGCCUGGCCUUGGCCGGGUGCACUUUCUCGUCGGCAGGUCAGCGUCAGUUUUGGCUGCCAGAAAAAGGCCAAGGGAAUGUGGCUCUUCGGAGUGUUAUAGCCCUUGGUCAACGUGGUGGCCGGGACUGAGGCCCGCAGCCAGCCGGUUCUUCCGGCGGGUGGCUCCUACGCUAGUUGCGGGCCCGCCGUGGACAGCUUGCUGACCACGACGGGACUUCGCAGCUACUCGUAGGAAGCCCUCUCCUCCUGGCUAAGGUCGCUGACUUAAUGAUUCCAAAUGACCCGUCUUGAAACACGGACCAAGGAGUCUAACAUGUAUGCGAGUGUU
rnacentral:rRNA from 1 species